GGGUUGUGAGGUUAAGCGACUAAGCGUACACGGUGGAUGCCCUGGCAGUCAGAGGCGAUGAAGGACGUGCUAAUCUGCGAAAAGCGUCGGUAAGGUGAUAUGAACCGUUACAGCCGGCGAUGUCCGAAUGGGGAAACCCAGUGCAAUUCGUUGCACUAUCGUUAACUGAAUACAUAGGUUAACGAGGCGAACCGGGGGAACUGAAACAUCUAAGUACCCCGAGGAAAAGAAAUCAACCGAGAUUCCCCCAGUAGCGGCGAGCGAACGGGGAGCAGCCCAGAGUCUGAAUCAGCUUGUGUGUUAGUGGAACGGUCUGGAAAGUCCGACGGUACAGGGUGAUAGUCCCGUACACCAAAAUGCACAGGCUGUGAACUCGAAGAGUAGGGCGGGACACGUGGUAUCCUGUCUGAAUAUGGGGGGACCAUCCUCCAAGGCUAAAUACUCCUGACUGACCGAUAGUGAACCAGUACCGUGAGGGAAAGGCGAAAAGAACCCCGGCGAGGGGAGUGAAAAAGAACCUGAAACCGUGUACGUACAAGCAGUGGGAGCACCUUUAUGGUGUGACUGCGUACCUUUUGUAUAAUGGGUCAGCGACUUAUAUUCUGUAGCAAGGUUAACCGUAUAGGGGAGCCGCAGGGAAACCGAGUCUUAACUGGGCGUUAAGUUGCAGGGUAUAGACCCGAAACCCGGUGAUCUAGCCAUGGGCAGGUUGAAGGUUGGGUAACACUAACUGGAGGACCGAACCGACUAAUGUUGAAAAAUUAGCGGAUGACUUGUGGCUGGGGGUGAAAGGCCAAUCAAACCGGGAGAUAGCUGGUUCUCCCCGAAAGCUAUUUAGGUAGCGCCUCGUGAAUUCAUCUUCGGGGGUAGAGCACUGUUUCGGCUAGGGGGUCAUCCCGACUUACCAACCCGAUGCAAACUACGAAUACCGAAGAAUGUUAUCACGGGAGACACACGGCGGGUGCUAACGUCCGUCGUGAAGAGGGAAACAACCCAGACCGCCAGCUAAGGUCCCAAAGUCAUGGUUAAGUGGGAAACGAUGUGGGAAGGCACAGACAGCCAGGAUGUUGGCUUAGAAGCAGCCAUCAUUUAAAGAAAGCGUAAUAGCUCACUGGUCGAGUCGGCCUGCGCGGAAGAUGUAACGGGGCUAAACCAUGCACCGAAGCUGCGGCAGCGACGCUUAUGCGUUGUUGGGUAGGGGAGCGUUCUGUAAGCCUGCGAAGGUGGCCUGUGAGGGUUGCUGGAGGUAUCAGAAGUGCGAAUGCUGACAUAAGUAACGAUAAAGCGGGUGAAAAGCCCGCUCGCCGGAAGACCAAGGGUUCCUGUCCAACGUUAAUCGGGGCAGGGUGAGUCGACCCCUAAGGCGAGGCCGAAAGGCGUAGUCGAUGGGAAACAGGUUAAUAUUCCUGUACUUGGUGUUACUGCGAAGGGGGGACGGAGAAGGCUAUGUUAGCCGGGCGACGGUUGUCCCGGUUUAAGCAUGUAGGCUGGUUAUCCAGGCAAAUCCGGAUAAUCAAGGCUGAGGUGUGAUGACGAGGCACUACGGUGCUGAAGUAACAAAUGCCCUGCUUCCAGGAAAAGCCUCUAAGCAUCAGGUAACAUCAAAUCGUACCCCAAACCGACACAGGUGGUCAGGUAGAGAAUACCAAGGCGCUUGAGAGAACUCGGGUGAAGGAACUAGGCAAAAUGGUGCCGUAACUUCGGGAGAAGGCACGCUGGUGUGUAGGUGAAGUCCCUGCGGAUGGAGCUGAGACCAGUCGAAGAUACCAGCUGGCUGCAACUGUUUAUUAAAAACACAGCACUGUGCAAACACGAAAGUGGACGUAUACGGUGUGACGCCUGCCCGGUGCCGGAAGGUUAAUUGAUGGGGUUAUCCGUAAGGAGAAGCUCUUGAUCGAAGCCCCGGUAAACGGCGGCCGUAACUAUAACGGUCCUAAGGUAGCGAAAUUCCUUGUCGGGUAAGUUCCGACCUGCACGAAUGGCGUAAUGAUGGCCAGGCUGUCUCCACCCGAGACUCAGUGAAAUUGAACUCGCUGUGAAGAUGCAGUGUACCCGCGGCAAGACGGAAAGACCCCGUGAACCUUUACUAUAGCUUGACACUGAACAUUGAGCCUUGAUGUGUAGGAUAGGUGGGAGGCUUUGAAGCGUGGACGCCAGUCUGCGUGGAGCCAACCUUGAAAUACCACCCUUUAAUGUUUGAUGUUCUAACGUUGGCCCCUAAUCGGGGUUGCGGACAGUGUCUGGUGGGUAGUUUGACUGGGGCGGUCUCCUCCCAAAGCGUAACGGAGGAGCACGAAGGUUAGCUAAUCCUGGUCGGACAUCAGGAGGUUAGUGCAAUGGCAUAAGCUAGCUUGACUGCGAGCGUGACGGCGCGAGCAGGUGCGAAAGCAGGUCAUAGUGAUCCGGUGGUUCUGAAUGGAAGGGCCAUCGCUCAACGGAUAAAAGGUACUCCGGGGAUAACAGGCUGAUACCGCCCAAGAGUUCAUAUCGACGGCGGUGUUUGGCACCUCGAUGUCGGCUCAUCACAUCCUGGGGCUGAAGUAGGUCCCAAGGGUAUGGCUGUUCGCCAUUUAAAGUGGUACGCGAGCUGGGUUUAGAACGUCGUGAGACAGUUCGGUCCCUAUCUGCCGUGGGCGCUGGAGAAUUGAGGGGGGCUGCUCCUAGUACGAGAGGACCGGAGUGGACGCAUCACUGGUGUUCGGGUUGUCAUGCCAAUGGCACUGCCCGGUAGCUAAAUGCGGAAGAGAUAAGUGCUGAAAGCAUCUAAGCACGAAACUUGCCCCGAGAUGAGUUCUCCCUGAGACUUUAAGUCUCCUGAAGGAACGUUGAAGACGACGACGUUGAUAGGCCGGGUGUGUAAGCGCAGCGAUGCGUUGAGCUAACCGGUACUAAUGAACCGUGAGGCUUAACCUUACAACGCCGAAG
rnacentral:rRNA from 1 species